rnacentral:rRNA from 1 species
CGGCAAUGGAGGAAACUCUGACCGAGCAACGCCGCGUGAAUGACGAAGUACUUCGGUAUGUAAAGUUCUUUUAUCAAGGAAGAAAAGCAAAUGGCGAACCAUUUGUUUGCCGGUACUUGAUGAAUAAGCCCCGGCUAAUUAUGUGCCAGCAGCCGCGGUAAGACAUAAGGGGCAAGUGUUAUCCGGAAUUAUUGGGCGUAAAGGGUGCGUAGGCGGUCUAGUAAGUCAGUGGUGUAAUGGCAACGCUUAACGUUGUCCGGCUAUUGAAACUGCUAAACUUGAGUUAGAUAGAGGCGAGUGGAAUUCCAUGUGUAGCGGUAAAAUGCGUAAAUAUAUGGAGGAACACCAGAGGCGUAGGCGGCUCGCUGGGUCUUAACUGACGCUGAGGCACGAAAGCGUGGGGAGCAAACAGGAUUAGAUACCCUGGUAGUCCACGCCGUAAACGAUGAGUACUAAGUGUCGGGUUAAACCGGUACUGAAGUUAACACAUUAAGUACUCCGCCUGAGUAGUACGUACGCAAGUAUGAAACUUAAAGGAAUUGACGGGACUCCGCACAAGCGGUGGAUCAUGUUGUUUAAUUUGAAGAUACCCGAAAAACCUUACCAGGUCUUGACAUGUUUUUGCAAAAUGAUAGUAAUAUCGUGGAGGUUACCAGAAACACAGGUGGUGCAUGGUUGUCGUCAGCUCGUGUCGUGAGAUGUUAGGUUAAGUCCUAAAACGAGCGAAACCCUUAUCGUUAGUUGCCAGCACGUUAUGGUGGGGACUUUAACGAGACUGCCAAUGAUAAAUUGGAGGAAGGUGAGGAUCACGUCAAAUCAGCAUGCCCCUUAUGACCUGGGCUACAAACGUGAUACAAUGGCUGUUACAAAGAGUAGCUGAA